GAUGAAGAACGCAGCGAAAUGCGAUAAGUAAUGUGAAUUGCAGAAUUCAGUGAAUCAUCGAAUCUUUGAACGCACAUUGCGCCCGCCAGUAUUCUGGCGGGCAUGCCUGUCUGAGCGUCAUUUCAACCCUCAUGCCCCUAGGGCGUGGUGUUGGGGAUCGGCCAAAGCCCGCGAGGGACGGCCGGCCCCUAAAUCUAGAGGCGGACCCGUCGUGGCCUCCUCUGCGAAGUAGUGAUAUUCCGCAUCGGAGAGCGAUGAGCCCCUGCCGUUAAACCCCCAACUUUCCAAGGUUGACCUCAGAUCAGGUAGGAAUACCCGCUGAACUUAAGCAUAUCAAUAAGCGGAGGA
rnacentral:misc_RNA from 1 species